rnacentral:rRNA from 1 species
AACGUAGGACGCAAGCGUUAUCCGGAGUUACUGGGCGUAAAGGGCAGGCAGGCGGGUCGAUAAGUCGGAUGUGAAAUCUCCCUGGCUUAACCGGGAGAGUGCAUUUGAGACUGUCAACCUGGAGGGCAGCAGAGGAGCGUGGAAUUCCGGGUGGAGUGGUGGAAUGCGUAGAGAUCCGGAGGAACACCAGAGGCGAAAGCGGCGCUCUGGGCUGCACCUGACGCUGAACUGCGAAAGCCAGGGGAGCGAACGGG